rnacentral:lncRNA from 1 species
AGGAAAACUUUUUUUUUCUGCUGUAGACGAUGACUGUGAUAAAAGAGAAUCCAUCAAGAAAAUUCUCCUUACUGAUCCCCAGAGUGUCAAAAAUGCUCUACAUGAAAUCAAAAUUAUUAGAAGAUUUGACAUCGUGACAUUGUGAAAGUGUUUGAAAUUCCUAGUACCAGUGGAAGCCAAUUAACAAACAAUGUGAACUCUCUUACCAAACUUAACAGUAUUUACAUUUUUCAGAAUUACAUGGAGACAGACUUGGCUAAUAUGAUGGAGGAGGGCCCUUUACUGGAAAAGCAUGCCAGACUUUUCAUGUAUCAGCUGCUAACGUGGCUUAAGUAUUCACUCUGCAAGUGUAUUGCCCAGAUAUCUCAAACCAACUAAUCUUUUCAUUAAUACUGAAGACAUGAUGCUGAAGAUAGGGGACUUUUGUCUUGCACAAAUCAUGGAUCCUCAUUAUUCCCAUAAGGAUCAUCUCUCUGAAGGACUGGUAACUAAAUGGUACAGAUCUCCACAUCUUUUACAUUCUUCUAAUAGUUAUAGUAAAGCCAUUGACAUGUGGACUGCAGGCCACAUCUUUGCUGAAAUGCUGACUGGUAAAACCCUUUUUGCAGGUGCACGUGAACUCGAACAGAUGCAGCUGAUUUUAGAAUCUAGUCCUGUUAUACAUGAGGAAGAUCAUCAGGAGCUUCUCAGUGUAAUUCCAGUUUACAUUAGAAAUGAAAUGACUGAACCACAGAAACCUUUAACUCAGCUGCUUCAGGGAAUUAGCUGAGAAGCACUGGAUCUCCUGGAACAAAUUUUGACAUUUAUCCCUACAGAUGGGUUAACAGCAGAAGAAGCGCUCUCCCAUCAUUACAUGAGCAUAUAUUAUUUUCCAACGGAUGAGCCAAUUUCAAGUCAUCUUUUUCAUAUUGAAGAUGAAGUUUAUGAUAUUUUGCUUAUGGAUGAAACUCACAGUCACAUUUAUAACUGGGAAAGGUAUGAUUGUUAGUUUUCAGUGCAUGAUUGGCCUAUACAUAACAACUUUGGUAUUGAUGAAGUUCUGCUUGACCUGAGAGCUCUGUCUGAUAUCACUGAUGAAGAAGUACGAGUUGAUCCCUGAAAAUAUUUGGAUGGACAUUCGGAAAAGCAUAAAGUAUCUGGAGGAUCCAAUUGCUCUACUGAGCCUUUUUGGCAGUACCCAGAUCAUCAUAAAAACAAAUAGGGAUUUGAAGUGUAGUCAUAUUUGUAACUACAAAGCCAGGUCAUCAUCAUAUUUAGAUAACUUAGUUUGGAGAGCGAGUGAAGUUAACCAUUACUAUGAACCCAAGGUUAUUAUAGAUAUUUCCAAUCGGAAAGAAUAAAGCAGAGAAAAAUCUGAUAAGAAAGGCAAGUGAAAAUGUGAAAGGAAUGGAUUGGUUAAAGCCCAGAUAGCGCUUGAGGAAGCCUCACAGCAACUGGUUGAAAAACAAAGGGAAAAAAAUCAGGGGUUUGAUUUUGAUUCCUUUAUUGCAGAAACUACUCAACCUAGUUCACAACAUGAGCCUACUGAUGUUGUUGAGAAAUGAAAUAACUCGAAUAGGUCAAGGUCCCAACUAGAAAUGAAAAAUUUGAUAACAAAGACAGUAAGCCAAGAAAAACAGAAAAAAGGAAUGGCAAAUUUGGCUCAGUUAGAAGUCUUGUACCAAUCUUCUUGGGACAGCCAGUUUGUGAGUGGUGGGGAGAACUAUUUUAUCACAAAUUAGUUUUGUUGUGAGGUAAGGAAGUGUGAAGGAGUUGAGGAGGACGACAUUUACACUAGUUACUUAGACAAGUUAUUUAACAGGAAAGAAGAUACUGAAAUACUAGAAACUGAGCUAGUAGAGGAUGGGAAGCUUGGGGAGAGAGGAAAUGAAGGAUUUCUGAACAACAGUUUGGAGUUCCUCUUUAGCAAGCACCUCGAGUCCGUGGGCGUCCUGCAGCUUCGCAGUCCAGUUGGGUCACUACUUAAGUCAAUACAGGCCACAUUACCACCUUCUGCUAUGGAAUCUUCCCCUCAAAUUCCUCAUAAAACCUGCAGCAGCAUUUUAAAACAUGUGAACUAA